rnacentral:rRNA from 1 species
UUGAAAGGGAAACGAUUGAAGUCAGUCGUACCGACGAAAAAUCAGCUCUUCGAGUGUUAACUUGUGGGCGUGCGUGAGUCUUUAACGGGCCUCGCUGUUUGCAUGUUUGUGCUUUUUGGGUGUACUUUUUCGUAUGGUUGGCCAACGUCAGUUUCGUUUACCAUAAAAUGAUCAGGGGAAUGUAGCUUCGAUCUCGUAUUGAAGUGUUAUAGACUUUGGUAGAUGUGGUAAACGAAACUGAGGAUUGCAACGAAUACCCCUUCGGGGCUAUCCGUCUGGGCCUCUGGAUAGUUGCCUAGGGUGCCGAAAGCUUGCUUACGGUCGUCUAAGGUGGCGGUCAAAAGGUUAGAACGUGAUUACAUUCGUUAAGGAUGUUGACGUAAGUC